GAGCGGCUGCUGUGGGCGCGGCUGACGGUCUUCGCGGGGCUGUUCGACCUGGAGGCGGCGGAGUACGUCUGCUCGGGCCCGGAGCUGCCCGCC
rnacentral:tRNA from 1 species